AGUCACUAGAUUGCUAUGGACAUAUUGGAUUUUCUGCUUGUGACAGGAUAUUUGCUCUGGCAACUGUUUUAAGUUCUGUUCUGAUCUACAAUCUUCCUGAAACAAUUCGUGAAGCCGAUAUAUCGAGACUUUCAUUUGCCGUCGAAAUUGCUGAAGAAUUCUAUGGAAGAGUCAAGGGGCAAGAUGUUUCUUUUGAGCCAGCCAAACUUCUGUGGUUGAUCCAGAGGGAUUUUCUCC